UUACAUAUAAUUUCCCAAUGAAUCGAGGUGUAUGAUGUUUAACAAUGUCGAUGUCUGGUGCUAUUAGUAACUAUUUUGUCGAUUCCCUUAUAAGUCAUGAUAGCGAAGCGACAGCUGCAACAAAGUUAACUUCGGGACAAUAUAUAGUCUCCAGACAGCCGGGGCUUAGCGAGCAUCCCGACUUCCCUGCUUGUAAUUUUCAGACGAAAUCUUCCGUGUUCGGCACCUCUUGGACCCCAGUGUACCCUCAGCCCUCAGCCAAUGUGUCCACCUUGUACCAUCCAUAUGUCCAGUCUCAUCCCAUCCCGCCUGAGAGCAGGUAUAUGCGGUCCUGGUUGGACACGACCCCCAGAGCCGUAGCCGUACAAGGGAUACCUUCCAGUGGUCACGAUUCAUUGAAAACAGAGCCCCUCGCGGGCCACGGCGGCCAAACCUUACCGGCGGCACUCCAAAAAUUGCACGGGGAAUCCUUGGAGGGCGAAGUCAUGAGCUCCGGGAAAGCGCCAUGCUAUGAAGACAGCUUAUAUGAAGAGAAAGGGGACAAAGAGGCAGCAGAACAAACCAAUCCUUCAGCAAAUUGGUUACACGCUCGCUCGACAAGGAAAAAAAGAUGUCCUUACAGCAAGUAUCAAACCCUGGAGUUGGAGAAAGAAUUUCUGUUCAACAUGUACCUCACCAGAGAGCGGAGGCACGAAGUGGCGCGUCUUCUGAACCUGACAGAAAGACAAGUCAAAAUCUGGUUUCAGAACAGGAGGAUGAAGAUGAAAAGACUCAGUAAAGAGCACGUAAAGGAAUUCGAGUGACGAGCUGUUUAGAUGAAACUUUAGCGCGUAGCCGGUUAUUGCUUUCACUGCAGUAUAUCCGUAAACCACUGUAGUUCAGAGAAAAUCACCACCCUUCCACAACAAAGAAUAGCUUGAAUGCAAGGUCUUAACAUCAAGCAAUUCGGCUAUUUAUUUCGAACAUUUUAGUGCAUUCAUUCAGGGAAUAGAGUCACGUGUAAAGGAUUUUAUUGCAGGAUAUUAAGAGAUACAACUUCCUCUCAUUCUCAAUCACACUAUUAGUCAGAAAGAUCAGCGAGCUUUUAUUCCUACUCUGUUCUCUUGUCUUGAGGGUUUUAAAAGAAACUUCAGGUUAUUUAUAAAUUAUUGCAAUUUCUGUGAAUCUUUUGGUGAUGGUCUUUGUGGCCGACCGCGCUGCAGAGCAACGAUUUGAGGGAAGGGUCUUUAACCUACGAUUGAUUUUAUAUAUAUUGUAAUCUUUUCUGUUUGCAGUGAUUUAACACGACUAACUAUCAAUUGUUUACAUGCAAAAGUGAAUGUUUAUAAUACAUUGUUAAACGCAUCAAAUUUGCGGUUGUUUUGUUAGUGUUUUUCCCCGACCCCCCCCCCCCGCCCCCCUCCAUCACUUUGGUUUGACGAUAUGCUUUCUUCCAAGGAAUUGUGAUUAUUAUUUAAACCGAAUGAUCAUGGACUUUACAAUCUCUAUUUCUGUAGACUUUAGUUUGUGUGUUUGGGUGAGUUUGGGCCUGUCGUGUUUUGGUUUAAUAUGCAUAACCAGACCCCCAAAGUUUAAAUGAGUAAUUGUCACGUUUAGCUGCCUGUAUCCUUUGUUAAGUAUUUGUAUAUCUCUGGGUAACUAUUACCACGUGGCUUUUAAAAUAAGGGUUUAGUACUUAGCACGACAAAUGUGGUCGAGAUGAAAAAUUAACGAUAUGUUAUGUAGGAUUUCGUAACAUUUAAGAAACAAAAUGCUGCAUGGGAAUAAUCUGACAAAGUUACCCGGAUUAUGGUUAUCCACCGAGAUGCAAUGAAGGAGACUGACAAAUGGUUCAGUUUAAAGAGAUAAACUGUGGUUUAAAAAAAACAUUCCAGAAGGCAACUUGUAAAUAUUUCUGCUUAUCUUUAUGUCUCUGUCCGGUGUGGAGCUGGUGUUUAUACUCGGACUUUUGUAGGUUUGUGCAGAUUUUACAUUUAAGGCCUUGCUCAUCACUGGUUCCAAACACGACUCCUUCUUUGGGCCUGAACCAGAAUCAUUAAAAUAGCCAGAAGCCAACAUGUUUAUAUUGGUCUAGUAAGUUUAAAAAACAUCUG